AGAGUUUGAUCAUGGCUCAGAUUGAACGCUGGCGGCAGGCCUAACACAUGCAAGUCGAGCGGUAGCACAGAGAGCUUGCUCUCGGGUGACGAGCGGCGGACGGGUGAGUAAUGUCUGGGAAACUGCCUGAUGGAGGGGGAUAACUACUGGAAACGGUAGCUAAUACCGCAUAACGUCGCAAGACCAAAGUGGGGGACCUUCGGGCCUCAUGCCAUCAGAUGUGCCCAGAUGGGAUUAGCUAGUAGGUGGGGUAACGGCUCACCUAGGCGACGAUCCCUAGCUGGUCUGAGAGGAUGACCAGCCACACUGGAACUGAGACACGGUCCAGACUCCUACGGGAGGCAGCAGUGGGGAAUAUUGCACAAUGGGCGCAAGCCUGAUGCAGCCAUGCCGCGUGUGUGAAGAAGGCCUUCGGGUUGUAAAGCACUUUCAGCGGGGAGGAAGGCGAUAAGGUUAAUAACCUUGUCGAUUGACGUUACCCGCAGAAGAAGCACCGGCUAACUCCGUGCCAGCAGCCGCGGUAAUACGGAGGGUGCAAGCGUUAAUCGGAAUUACUGGGCGUAAAGCGCACGCAGGCGGUCUGUCAAGUCGGAUGUGAAAUCCCCGGGCUCAACCUGGGAACUGCAUUCGAAACUGGCAGGCUAGAGUCUUGUAGAGGGGGGUAGAAUUCCAGGUGUAGCGGUGAAAUGCGUAGAGAUCUGGAGGAAUACCGGUGGCGAAGGCGGCCCCCUGGACAAAGACUGACGCUCAGGUGCGAAAGCGUGGGGAGCAAACAGGAUUAGAUACCCUGGUAGUCCACGCCGUAAACGAUGUCGAUUUGGAGGUUGUGCCCUUGAGGCGUGGCUUCCGGAGCUAACGCGUUAAAUCGACCGCCUGGGGAGUACGGCCGCAAGGUUAAAACUCAAAUGAAUUGACGGGGGCCCGCACAAGCGGUGGAGCAUGUGGUUUAAUUCGAUGCAACGCGAAGAACCUUACCUGGUCUUGACAUCCACAGAACUUNNNUUGGUGCCUUCGGGAACUGUGAGACAGGUGCUGCAUGGCUGUCGUCAGCUCGUGUUGUGAAAUGUUGGGUUAAGUCCCGCAACGAGCGCAACCCUUAUCCUUUGUUGCCAGCGGUUAGGCCGGGAACUCAAAGGAGACUGCCAGUGAUAAACUGGAGGAAGGUGGGGAUGACGUCAAGUCAUCAUGGCCCUUACGACCAGGGCUACACACGUGCUACAAUGGCAUAUACAAAGAGAAGCGACCUCGCGAGAGCAAGCGGACCUCAUAAAGUAUGUCGUAGUCCGGAUUGGAGUCUGCAACUCGACUCCAUGAAGUCGGAAUCGCUAGUAAUCGUAGAUCAGAAUGCUACGGUGAAUACGUUCCCGGGCCUUGUACACACCGCCCGUCACACCAUGGGAGUGGGUUGCAAAAGAAGUAGGUAGCUUAACCUUCGGGAGGGCGCUUACCACUUUGUGAUUCAUGACUGGGGUGAAGUCGUAACAAGGUAACCGUAGGGGAACCUGCGGUUGGAUCACCU
rnacentral:rRNA from 2 species